rnacentral:rRNA from 1 species
UGGGGAAUCUUGCGCAAUGGACGAAAGUCUGACGCAGCGACGCCGCGUGGGUGAUGAAGGCCUUCGGGUUGUAAAGCCCUGUGGGGAGAGACGAAUAAGUGUAGCCUAAUACGUUACAUGAUGACGGUAUCUCCUUAGCAAGCACCGGCUAACUCUGUGCCAGCAGCCGCGGUAAGACAGAGGGUGCAAACGUUGUUCGGAAUUACUGGGCGUAAAGCGUGUGUAGGCGGCUACGUAAGUCGGAUGUGAAAGCCCCAGGCUCAACCUGGGAAGUGCACUCGAUACUGCGUAGCUUGAGUAUCGGAGAGGUUGGUGGAAUUCUCGGUGUAGAGGUGAAAUUCGUAGAUAUCGAGAGGAACACCGGUGGCGAAGGCGGCCAACUGGACGAAUACUGACGCUGAGACACGAAAGCGUGGGGAGCAAACAG